ACGAACGCUGGCGGCGUGCUUAACACAUGCAAGUCGAACGUGAUUUUUGUGUAUAUUCUUUCGGGAAUGGAAAUGAAUUGUAAGUGGCGAACGGGUGAGUAACACGUGAUCAAUCUACCUUUCACUGGGGGAUAGCCGUUGGAAACGACGAUUAAUUCUGCUUGAGACCACAGAAUCGCAUGAUAUAUGGGUUAAAGAUUUAUCGGUGUAAGAAGGGCUCGCGUCUGAUUAGCUAGUUGGAAGGGUAAAGGCCUACCAAGGCGACGAUCAGUAGCCGGUCUGAGAGGAUGAACGGCCACAUUGGAACUGACACACGGUCCACACACCUACGGGAGGCAGCAGUGGGGAAUAUUGCACAAUGGGGGGACACCUGAUGCAGCGACGCCGCGUGAGCGAAGAAGGUUUUCGAAUCAAAAAACUCUGUCCUAUGAGAAGAUAAUGACGGUAUCAUAGGAGGAAGCCCCGGCUAAAUACGUG
rnacentral:rRNA from 1 species